GGGGAAUUUUCCGCAAUGGGCGAAAGCCUGACGGAGCAAUACCGCGUGAGGGAUGACGGCCUAUGGGUUGUAAACCUCUUUUUUCAGGGAGGAAUCAAUGACGUGUACCCUGAAGAAUAAGCAUCGGCUAACUCCGUGCCAGCAGCCGCGGUAAGANCGGAGGAUGCAAGUGUUAUCCGGAAUCACUGGGCGUAAAGCGUCUGUAGGUGGUCCAAUAAGUCAACUGUUAAAUCUUGAGGCUCAACCUCAAAACCGCAGUCGAAACUAUUAGACUAGAGUAUAGUAGGGGUAAAGGGAAUUUCCAGUGGAGCGGUGAAAUGCGUAGAUAUUGGAAGGAACACCGAUGGCGAAGGCACUUUACUGGGCUAUUACUAACACUCAGAGACGAAAGCUAGGGUAGCAAAUGGGAUUAGAUACCCCAGUAGUC
rnacentral:rRNA from 1 species